rnacentral:lncRNA from 1 species
GAUGAAAUGGGUAGAAAUGACCUUACACUGGGAGAAGACCAUGUCUCGACGAUAUAAGAAGGUAAAGAUACAGUGCCGAAAGGGCAUCCCCUCAGCCCUACGUGCCCGGUGUUGGCCCCUACUGUGUGGGGCCCAUAUGUGUCAGAAGAACAAUCCUGGCACCUAUCAGGAGCUGGCAGUGGCCCCAGGGGACCCGCAGUGGAUGGAGACCAUUGGCAGGGACUUGCACCGGCAGUUCCCUCUGCACGAGAUGUUUGUGUCACCCCAGGGACAUGGGUACGAGGCAAGGGAUACCCAGUGACACCAGGUCCUCGUGCUAGAUCCAUUAGUCAUUCUUUUACAUCCUUGGAUGAGGGAGACCAUAGCCUGGGCAGAGGCCACAGAGGGCAGGGCAGGGAUGCCUGGGAGGCUAGCCUUAAUGAGAUCUUCUGGCACAGGCAGCAGGGGCUGCUGCAGGUUCUCAAGGCCUACACCCUGUACCGGCCAGAACAGGGAUAUUGCCAGGCUCAGGGACCUGUAGCUGCUGUGCUGCUCAUGCAUCUGCCCCCAGAGGUGAGUGACCUUGACCCUGCUCUGAGACACCCCAACCCCAACCCCAGGUACUCGGACCUCAGGAAUCUGUGUUCCUUUACUUCAAGCCCUGUUCUUGCGACCAAAGCCUCAUGUCUACCCAUCUCACUAGCCCUUAAGUUUAUUAUCCCUGACUUCUGAACCUGGGACCUUUGAUCCUGACCUUUACUCCAGUGAUCUAGGAGUCUGAAAAAAAUUUCACUUUA